GAUGAACGCUGGCGGCGUGCCUAAUACAUGCAAGUCGAACGGGGAGUAGCAAUACUCUUAGGGGCGAACGGGGGAGGAACGCGAUGGUACCUUCCCCGAAGCGGGGGAUAACGUACCGAAAGGUGCACUAAUACCCCAAGUGCACGGGAACGAGUAAAGGGGGAAACGACUUUGGGAGGGGCGUUCGUCCCAUCCGCUAGCGGGUAAGGUAACGGCGUCCUAAGGCGAUGACGGGUAGGGGACCUGUGAGGGUGGCCCCCCACAAUUGAACUGAAACACGGUCCAGAAACGUACGCGUGGCAGGCGUAGGUAAUAUAGGUAAUGGGCGCACGCCUGAACCACCAACGGGGCGUGAGCGGUGACGGCCUUCGGGUUGUAGAGUCCUUUUGACAGGGACGAGGAAGGACGGUACCGGACGAAUAAGCAUCGGCUAACUACGUG
rnacentral:rRNA from 1 species